AGCUUUCUAUUUGUGUUUCUCUGCGUACGGGUUCAUUUCUGUAAAGAAAUUUUCCAAUGUCAACAGGUCUGCUUCAUAUAUAAGAUAUAUAUUUAUGUGUGUGUAAAUUCAUUCCACAUGGAGAUAGACUCCUGUUUUUGAUAUGUCAACAGAUGAAAUUUGAAUUUGAAAAAAGAAAUGUUCAAGUUUGGAACGCUUUCGUUGUAAAAAGAAUAUCCGAAUUCCCACAAAAGAUGAGACGGUGAUGUUUGGGAAAAUGCCUAAGAAGUACAAAAAAAGUUAGGGAAAAAAAGGAUAGUUAAGGUUUGAUACGGUUUCAAAUUUUGAAAAAGGCCUCGGAUUUCCAUAAAAAAAGGUAACGGCUGGAACGCUUUCGUUCUAACAUUUAAUAAAUAAAUUCUGAUUCACUGCUGA